rnacentral:rRNA from 1 species
UACGUAGGGUGCAAGCGUUGUCCGGAAUUAUUGGGCGUAAAGAGCUCGUAGGCGGUUUGUUGCGUCGGCUGUGAAAUCCCGAGGCUCAACCUCGGGUCUGCAGUCGAUACGAGCAAACUAGAGUGUUGCAGGGGAGACUGGAACUCCUGGUGUAGCGGUGAAAUGCGCAGAUAGUCAGGAGGAACACCGGUGGCGAAGGCGGGUCUCUGGGCAACAACUGACGCUGGAGGAGCGAAAGCCGUGGGGAGCGAACAGGA